UACGGGGGGGGCAAGCGUUGUUCGGAAUUACUGGGCGUAAAGGGCUCGUAGGCGGCCAACUAAGUCGGACGUGAAAUCCCUCGGCUUAACCGAGGAACUGCGUCCGAUACUGGAUGGCUUGAGUGUGGGAGAGGGAUGCGGAAUUCCAGGUGUAGCGGUGAAAUGCGUAGAUAUCAGGAGGAACACCGAUGGCGAAGGCAGGUCUCUGGGCCACUACUGACGCUGAGAAGCGAAAGCAUGGGGAGCGAACAGG
rnacentral:rRNA from 1 species